CCCCUCCCCGCGCGAGUGAAACCCGAGCGCCCCACCCCGCGCCUGACCUCUGGGGCCCCUCCCCCGACCCGCCUCUGCCUGGGACGGGACCCCCUCCGCGGCGGGGGCGCCCCACUGCACCCCGGGGGCCCCACUGCCGCCUCGCUGGUUGGAGUUGGCCCCAGCGCGCGCUUCCCGGGGGCCCCCUCCCCGGCCCCGCAGAGGCCAUCUGAGGCCCCCUGCCCCCGUCCCGCGGCUCAGACGUGGCCACACGGGGUGGGGGGCGGGGGCAGUAUAAAGGGCUGCAGGCGGCGCGGGCCGAGCCCCGCGACGUGGCGCGUCCGCUCCGCCGGCCUCGGCUCCAGAGCCUGAGGGUCAGCCACGUCCUAGAGAAGAGCCCAAGGGGCAGAGGCGAAGAAGCUCUGGCCGACCACGUGACCUUGGAGGGGACCCACCACCCGUGGCCUUUAAGAAUGGGACCAGAUGAGAUUAACAUUAGGAACAACCUCAGCUUCUUGACAUGCACUCUAACUGACUGUUUCUACAAGUGAGCCGAGUGACGCAUUAGUCAUCACCCACGUGUGGUCUCUGCUUUUCCCUGGUGGUUUGCUUGUUUUAGACCCAUGGCAUUUAAGAACUUAAAAAACUGCCAGAUCUUCUGAUCAACCCUA